rnacentral:lncRNA from 1 species
GAGUUUUAUAAUGAUGAACAUUAAAUUUUUGUUGCAGUCAUUUGAGAGAUGGAGAGAGAAUCUGUAAAUUUUUCUGUAUAUAGGGAGACAAAAAAAUCUAAUUAAGUUAAAUAUUUUUGAUUCAGACGACUUCCUAGACGACUUGCUUGUAAGCAAUGUUUUUAAACCCGACCCGAACACUGAACCGGACGACUUACCGGAUCGCUGGAUCACUGGGUCGACUGCGGGCGAACCGCAGAUUAAUAAAUGAAUUAAUUUUAAUAUAUAAUAAUAUAUCAGCUAUGUAAAUAAAAAUAUAGAAAUUAAAGUUUAAUAUUUUCUAAAUAUUUUUAUAAACAUAAAAUAAUAGUCUCGGUGGGUAUAUUUUUAAGUUUAAUAGCAUUUAGAAAAUACUUAACUUUAAUUUCUAU